rnacentral:rRNA from 1 species
AGCGAACGCUGGCGGCAGGCCUAACACAUGCAAGUCGAACGAACCUUUCGGGGUUAGUGGCGGACGGGUGAGUAACACGUGGGAACGUGCCUUUAGGUUCGGAAUAACUCAGGGAAACUUGUGCUAAUACCGAAUGUGCCCUUCGGGGGAAAGAUUAAUCGCCUUUAGAGCGGCCCGCGUCUGAUUAGCUAGUUGGUUGAGGUAAUGGCUCACCAAGGCGAUGAUCAGUAGCUGGUCUGAGAGGAUGAUCAGCCACAUUGGGACUGAGACACGGCCCAAACUCCUACGGGAGGCAGCAGUGGGGAAUCUUGCGCAAUGGGCGAAAGCCUGACGCAGCCAUGCCGCGUGAAUGAUGAAGGUCUUAGGAUUGUAAAAUUCUUUCACCGGGGACGAUAAUGACGGUACCCGGAGAAGAAGCCCCGGCUAACUUCGUG